GCAGUCGUGGCCGAGCGGUUAAGGCGAUGGAGUAGAAAUACAUUGGGGUUUCCCCGCACAGGUUUGAUUUCUGUUGACUGCG
rfam:Ixodes scapularis strain Wikel colony gcontig_1107728919888, whole genome shotgun sequence.